GGAAGAUCUAGAGGUACUAUCUCUUUCAGGAACCCAUCAAGCUUAUGAUAGGGUUAUUUCCCAGUCAGGAGGAGUAGGGGCAUGCCUAUUCCUAUUCCAAAAGGCAUGGGAGGAAACCACCUCAGACCAAUGGUGAUGGACAUUAUUUGAAGGGGGAACCUUCUAGAAUUUGCCAAGAAGCCACCAAGUUGGAAUAAACUUGGAAUUAAUAAUAACAUUAAUAACUAAAAAUAAUAACUUAAAAUAAUAACUUAAAAACCGAGUGUAAAGUCAGAGUCCACACUCCUUGCUUUCGACAAUUCAAUAAUAUUUAUUAAUAGAGGCUAAUCAAACAAAUAAACAAUACAUAUACAUUUGAAAUAGGC